GUGGGGAAUAUUGGACAAUGGGCGAAAGCCUGAUCCAGCCAUGCCGCGUGUGUGAAGAAGGUCUUCGGAUUGUAAAGCACUUUAAGUUGGGAGGAAGGGCAGUAAGUUAAUACCUUGCUGUUUUGACGUUACCGACAGAAUAAGCACCGGCUAACUUCGUGCCAGCAGCCGCGGUAAUACGAAGGGUGCAAGCGUUAAUCGGAAUUACUGGGCGUAAAGCGCGCGUAGGUGGUUUUGUAAGUUGGAGGUGAAAUCCCCGGGCUCAACCUGGGAACUGCCUCCAAAACUGCAUGACUAGAGUACGGUAGGGGGUAGUGGAAUUUCCUGUGUAGCGGUGAAAUGCGUAGAUAUAGGAAGGAACACCAGUGGCGAAGGCGACUACCUGGACUGAUACUGACACUGAGGUGCGAAAGCGUGGGGAGCAAACAGGAUUAGAAACCCCUGUAGUCC
rnacentral:rRNA from 1 species